rnacentral:ncRNA from 3 species
AGCAGCCGCGGUAAUUCCAGCUCCAAUAGCGUAUAUUAAAGUUGCUGCAGUUAAAAAGCUCGUAGUUGAAUUUCGGGAUCAAUAUGUCGGUCGUGCCUCGGUACGUACUGGCUUAUUGGUUUCUCCUUUCUGAAGAACCAUGAUGUCAUUUAUUUGGUGUCGUGGGAAAUCAGGACUGUUACUUUGAAAAAAUUAGAGUGUUUAAAGCAGGCUCACGCUUGAAUACAUUAGCAUGGAAUAAUGAAAUAGGACGUUUGAUUCUAUUUUGUUGGUUUCUAGGAUCGACGUAAUGAUUAAUAGGGAUAGUUGGGGGCAUUAGUAUUCAAUUGUCAGAGGUGAAAUUCUUGGAUUUAUUGAAGACUAACUACUGCGAAAGCAUUUGCCAAGGAUGUUUUCAUUAAUCAAGAACGAAAGUUAGGGGAUCGAAGACGAUCAGAUACCGUCGUAGUCUUAACCAUAAACUAUGCCGACUAGGGAUCGGAUGAUGUUAAUUUUUUAAUGACUCAUUCGGCGCCUUACG